rnacentral:misc_RNA from 1 species
AACGCACCUUGCACUCUCUGGUCUUCCUGAGAGUACACCCGUUUGAGUAUCAUUGUACCCUCACAUCUCUACUUUGAGAUUGUGGAUGUGGACGUUGCUCUGAAUUAUAUUCAUAGCUCGUCUGAAAUAAAUGAGUACAGUCCCGUGCUGGCAGAGGUACUUGGUGUAAUAAUCUAUCUCACCAUAGUUCUUCCUCGUCUUGUCAUGUCUCGGUACCAUUCUGUGCUAUCCAACCGUCUUCUUUCAUAGACAAUCCUUUUGACAAUUUGAUCUCAAAUCGGGUGGGAUUACCCGCUGAACUUAA